CAGGACGAACGCUAGCGACAGGCCUAACACAUGCAAGUCGAGGGGCAGCACAAGGAGCAAUCUGAGGUGGCGACCGGCGCACGGGUGAGUAACACGUAUGCAACCUGCCUGUAAGCGGGGAAUAACCCGUUGAAAGACGGACUAAUACCGCAUAAUACUAAAUUACUGCAUGGUAAUUUAUUUAAACAUUUAUGGCUUACAGAUGGGCAUGCGCAUGAUUAGCUAGUUGGAGAGGUAACGGCUCCCCAAGGCAACGAUCAUUAGGGGUUCUGAGAGGAAGGUCCCCCCACACUGGUACUGAGACACGGACCAGACUCCUACGGGAGGCAGCAGUGAGGAAUAUUGGUCAAUGGACGAGAGUCUGAACCAGCCAAGUCGCGUGCAGGAAGAAUUGUCCUAUGGAUUGUAAACUGCUUUUGCAGGGGAAUAAAGUGCAUCACGUGUGAUGUUUUGUAUGUACUCUGCGAAUAAGGAUCGGCUAACUCCGUGCCAGCCGCCGC
rnacentral:rRNA from 1 species